AUCGCUUCUCGGCUCUUUGAGCUAAGAUCAAAUGUGUAGUAUCUGUUCUUAUCAGCUUAAUAUCUGAUACAUCCCCAUAGGGGAUCAGAAUAUUAAUUGCGAUUUUUGAACAAAGGCGAGAACAUGGAGCUUGCUCCAACCUUGCCCGGGUCGACCUGACAUUGCAGUAACGUCGGGAUUGGCUCUCAUAAA